rnacentral:tRNA from 1 species
GGUCUCGUGGCCCAAUGGCAAGGCGUCUGACUACGACGGACCAUGAUUCAAACAUGGUUUAUCCUGAAAUCAGGAGAUUCUGGGUUCGAUCCCCAGCGAGAUCA